UAUCCCCCCAUUUGGAAAUCGAGAGAGACCGCCCAGUCUCUUAACGGGAGGCAGCAGUGGGAAUUGAACAAUUGGGAGCACCCUGUAUCCAGCCAUGCGGCUGAGUGAGACGCCUUCGGUUGUAAAGCUCCUUUCCGGACGGAAAGAAAUUCGCGCAGGUAAAUAAUCUGCGUGGAUGACGGUACGUAAGAAGAAGCACGGCUAACUACGUGCCAGCAGCGCGGUAAUACGUAGGGUGCGAGCGUAAUCGGAAUUACUGGGCGUAAAGCGUGCGCAGGCGGCUUUGUAAGACAGGUGUGAAAUCCCCGGGGCUUAACCUGGGAAUGGCGCUUGUGACUGCAAGGCUCGAGUGCGGCAGAGGGGGGUGGAAUUCCACGUGUAGCAGUGAAAUGCGUAGAGAUGUGGAGGAACACCGAUGGCGAAGGCAGCCCCCUGGGUCGACACUGACGCUCAUGCACGAAAGCGUGGGGAGCAAACAGGAUUAGAUACCCUGGUAGUCCACGCCCUAAACGAUGCCAACUAGUUGUUGGGGAAGGAGACUUCCUUAGUAACGAAGCUAACGCGUGAAGUUGGCCGCCUGGGGAGUACGGUCGCAAGAUUAAAACUCAAAGGAAUCGACGGGGGCCCGCACAAGCGGUGGAGCAUGUGGUUUAAUUCGACGCAACGCGCAGAACCUUACCAGGCC
rnacentral:rRNA from 1 species